AGGACCCAGGUCCAACAAACCAGAUCAAUCAUUCCUCUGAUUGUUCAACCUAUUUCCCAAUGGCAGAAGAGCAGGCCUAUCAUGUCAGUAAAGGGCUGGAGUGCAUCAAGGCCCUCAGAGAAAAUCCUCCUAACAUGGAAGAGAUUCAAGAGGUCAGCAACAUCAGGGAUCAAACCUACAAGUCAAGCAAAGAAAGCGGAACCACAGGUGUGCAAGAGGAAGAAAUCACUCAGAAUAUCGAUGAAUCACACACGCCAACAAAGAGAUCAAACAGUGUCAGCGAUGUACUCCAAGAAGAUCAGAGAGGUAGAGAGGACAAUACUGCACCUGUGGAGGCAAAAGACCGUAUUGAAGAGGAUACCCAAACAGGACCUGCAGUACGACGUUAUUAUGUUUAUGAUCACUGCGGUGAAAAGGUUAAGGGAAUCGAAGAUGCUGACAGUCUCAUGGUACCAGCAGGCCCUCCAAGUAAUAGGGGAUUCGAAGGAAGAGAGGGAAGCCUUGAUGAUAGCAUUGAAGAUUCUAGCGAAGAUUAUUCCGAAGGAAAUGCUUCAUCUAACUGGGGAUAUACUUUUGGCCUUAACCCAGACAGAGCAGCUGAUGUGAGCAUGCUAAUGGAGGAAGAGUUGACUGCUCUGCUUGGCACAGGCCACAAUGCCGGGGGCCAAAAGAGGGACGGGAGAACUCUACAGUUUCCGAAUAGUCCCGAAGGGAGUAUAGGGAACCAAGCAUGCGAACCCAUUAAAAAGGGCACAGGAGAGAAGUUAGCCUCACAUGGAAUGAUGACCGCUGCUGGAUUGACAAAUGGUGCAACCCGAUCUGCACCCAAGUCAACUGGGGGGUCAUCAGGGCCAAAUGCAUCUGCGGGGAGUGUCCCCCAGUCUGUGACGACUGCAAAGAUGAUCCAGAAAUGCAAAACCGAAUCUGGUACGAGACCCCAACCCGAGAAACCAAAUGAGAUCGAGUCAGAUGGUGAAUAUGAUGAUGAGCUUUUUUCUGAGAUACAAGAAAUCCGAUCUGCUAUCACCAAAUUAACUGAGGAUAAUCAAUCAAUACUUAGCAAAUUAGAUACUUUAUUGCUGCUUAAGGGAGAGAUUGACUCGAUCAAAAAACAAAUUAGUAAACAGAACAUUGCUAUCUCGACAAUUGAGGGACACUUAUCGAGUAUCAUGAUUGCGAUACCUGGUUUUGGAAAGGAUACCGGAGAUCCCACUGCAAAUGUUGACAUUAAUCCUGACGUCCGCCCCAUCAUAGGGAGGGAUUCUGGAAGGGCUCUUGCUGAGGUCCUAAAGAAGCCGGCAUCUUCUCGUGGUAAUCAAAAGGACGGUGGUCUCAUCCUGGGUUCAAAGGGUCAAUUGUUAAAGGACCUCCAAUUGAAGCCUAUUGAUAAAAAUUCCAGCUCAGCAAUUGGAUUCAAACCUAAAGAUUCUGCUCCGUCAAAAGCCGUGAUUGCAUCCUUGAUCAGAUCAAGCAAGGUUGACCAAAGCCACAAACAAAACAUGCUCUCCCUACUCAAGAACAUUAAGGGGGAUGACAAUCUAAAUGAAUUCUACCAGAUGAUCAAGAGCAUCUCCCACAUCUAACCUGCUACACCAAUGCCUUUGUUAGUAAUCAGGAUACUGCAUUAACCCUGGCUUAUAAGCAAUUACAAAAAA
rnacentral:misc_RNA from 1 species